UAUGUAUCACUGCUAAACGCGGAUGUGCCCAAUGUUGCCUUACGCGAUUCCUGUAUUUCCGUCUAAGAUAAAACAAACAAGUUUCGUCUUCCCUGUCUAUCAGAUACUGACAUCUUUCUUCUGUGACUUCCGAAAUCCAACUGCCAAAAACAUUACGACUGGAACCGGAAUCGGCGCGGGCAGAAAGCCGGGGUGUGUGCAAGCGCCCUUACGCUUCGGCACUUGACGUCAUUUUCCAUUCUGGAAGAACUAUCUGUUGACAGAAAAAGAAAAAAGAUUAUUUUGGUGGCCAGAUGUAGUCCAUUUAUUUUAAUGUGAUGAACAGAUCCUAAUAGUUAAUAGAGUGUAGUACCCCAAUAUGGAGUAUUAAAC
rnacentral:lncRNA from 1 species